UUUAUUAAUUAAUAAUUAUAAGUUAAGUGUGAUUUUAGAAAUAUUUUUGAAUCAGUGAAUUUUGUGAUUUAAAAGAAAUUAUUAGGUAAAUUGGGUCGAAAACGAGGUAUUGAGACCUCGAUAUUAUAAACUGAGCCGUAAAUAUUUAUAAAAAUAUUUACGGAGUGUCAAUAGGAUAAUAUUAAAGUUUCGUUAAGAAAUUUUAACGCUUUGAUAGUUAAUUAUGAAAAGGACUAAAUUGAAGUAAUGAUAAAAGUUUAAUUAUAGAUUAAAGAAAAGUUAAAGGACCAAAUAGGUAAUUCUGCCUUUUUCUAAAGUUGAGGCGGCAUAACAAAAGAAAAAUCUAAGAUAUUUUAAUUUAAAAUAUAUCUAUUAUAUUAUACAUGCGUAAGUAAUAAUUAUGUUUUUAUAUUAUAUUAUUAUUAAUAUAUUAUAUUAUAUUAUAUUAUUAUAUUAUUAUAUAUAUAUGACAAAGAAAGAAAGAAAAGAAACAGAGAGCAAAACAAAACAGAGAAGGGUGAAAGAAAGAAACAGAGAGCAAAACGAAACAGAGAAGGAAGGAAGGAAAGAAAGAAAGAAAAAGAAAAAGAGAAAUUUGGGGUUUUAAGGUUCAGAGUUAAUUUGCUAAUGUCGUGUACGAGUCAUUGUCCGAGAAAGGAAAG